rnacentral:rRNA from 1 species
GACCUGCGGAGGGAUCAUUACACAACAAAAUAUGAAGGCCUGGCUUUCGCGGCCGGCUGAAGUAUUUUUUUCACCCAUGUCUUUUGCGCACUUGUUGUUUCCUGGGCGGGUUCGCCCGCCACCAGGACCAAACCAUAAACCUUUUUUUCUUAUGCAGUUUCCAUCAGCGUCAGUAAAAACAAUGUAAUUAUUACAACUUUCAACAACGGAUCUCUUGGUUCUGGCAUCGAUGAAGAACGCAGCGAAAUGCGAUACGUAGUGUGAAUUGCAGAAUUCAGUGAAUCAUCGAAUCUUUGAACGCACAUUGCGCCCUUUGGUAUUCCAAAGGGCAUGCCUGUUCGAGCGUCAUUUGUACCUUCAAGCUUUGCUUGGUGUUGGGCGUUUUUUUGUCUCCCUCUUUCUGGGAGACUCGCCUUAAAACGAUUGGCAGCCGGCCUACUGGUUUCGGAGCGCAGCACAUUUUUUGCGCUUUGUAUCAGGAGAAAAGGACGGUACUCCAUCAAGACUCUACAUUUUUCACUUUUGACCUCGGAUCAGGUAGGGAUACCCGCUGAACUUAAGCAUAUCAA